rnacentral:pre_miRNA from 1 species
AUACUACUCCCUUCGUCAGGAAAUACUUGUUAUAGGAAUGGAUGUAUCUAAAUGUAUUUUAGUUCUAGAUAGAUCCAUUUUAUCAAUUUGUGCAAAAAUUAGUUCCGGACGGAGGGAGUAUUUG